UAUGGGAUAAGAUGUAGUUCAUGAUUAAAACAUUAAGUAUUGAAUUUGUUUUUAGUUUGCUUCAAAAGUCUUUCUAGUUUGAUCUAACUUGGAGUUUAAAUUUUUCUAGGCGAAAUAUUGCUUCACUAUACUGAUUCUAAGCAGGUAGAUGGCUGACCACAAAGAGAUACUUGGAGGAAGUGUGAGCCUAAUAGACCAUUCUAACUGAAAAUUGUUUAACUCAACAAGAGGACAGAACCCUCAGUAAAAUAAACAUUUGAUCUUCAGGCAGAGAAAAGAAUGCCUUAAGAGGAAAUGACCAGGGAAAUGGGGAAUAAGGAGUGACCGAGAUCGCGAGAAUGAAGUAUGUUCAAAAGGAGGAGGUCACUACAGUGCUAAAUGUUGCUGAGCUUUCAAAGCAUGAAAUAGAUUUCAUCAAUAUGAAGAAAUACAUACAAAUCAAUUCUCUUGGUCUGUAAGCUACAACUAGAAUUAUGUGAAGUACUUUAGAAACUGCUUACUUUUUCAUACCACAAAUAAAAUACUGUGAGAACCAA